GUCUGAAGAUGGAGACCAACGAGUCUACGGAGGGAUCGCGGUCGCGGUCGCGAUCUUUAGACAUACAGCCCAGCUCCGAAGGACUGGGGCCCACUUCGGAACCGUUUCCUUCUUCAGAUGACAGUCCUAGAGAGCCACCAACCACCUGGAUCAAGUCCCAAGCAUGCAGGAUGGCUCUGAGAGUUUUUUCUUCCGACACGGACACCGGGGACUGCUGACUAUGCAACUAAAGUCACCCAUGCCCUCCAGCACCACCCAGAAAGACUCGUACCAGCCACCAGGAAACGUCUAUUGGCCACUUCGAGGGAAGCGUGAAGCCAUGCUGGAGAUGCUCCUGCAGCAUCAGAUCUGUAAAGAGGUGCAGGCAGAACAGGAACCCACAAGGAAGUUCUUCGAGGUUGAGUCUGUGACACACCAUGACUACCGAAUGGAGCUGGCACAAGCAGGGACUCCUGCCCCAACAAAGCACCUGGUGAAUACUCAGUAAACAUUUGCGGAAUGAAUGAACACCCUCUCUGCAGCAGGACAUGGACAAAUAGGCUCUGCCAUCAGGAAAUGGGAAGCAAGAAAACAGUAACUCAAGAGGACAGAGGCUGGUGAGGAGGUAAAGCAGGCCCAGUGAAAUGGACCAGACAGCCCAAACUGUCAGAGAGGAGGAAAGCAGGCAUUUGAUUUUGGUAAUUGUGCCAAAGCUAUGUAAGAGAAUAAAUGCCAUUGUUUUAAGGAAA
rnacentral:sRNA from 1 species